AUACAGAGGGUGCGAGCGUUAAUCGGAAUUACUGGGCGUAAAGCGCGCGUAGGCGGUCUAUUAAGUCAGAUGUGAAAUCCCAGGGCUCAACCUUGGAACUGCAUCUGAUACUGGUAGACUAGAGUUUUGGGGAGGGAAGUAGAAUUUCAGGUGUAGCGGUGAAAUGCAUAGAGAUCUGAAGGAAUACCAGUGGCGAAGGCGACUUCCUGGCCAAAAACUGACGCUGAGGUGCGAAAGCGUGGGUAGCAAACAGGAUUAGAAACCCUAGUAGUCC
rnacentral:rRNA from 1 species